UCAACGGACUACGGUGGACAAGUCCGCAAACACCGCGCACUAAACUUGCGUACUUUAGGAAUUUGCAAAUUAAUUUGGAAUUUUACUCUUUUUUAUUAAUUUUUAACUUAAUUAGCCUGAUAAUAGCUUGUUUUAUGCUUAAAAAUAAAU
ensembl:ncRNA Y97E10AL.4 ncRNA